GUGAACUCGACCCUCACGUGAACGCGCGUGAGACACUUGGCCGGAAGCGAUGUUUUAUAGUUAAAGUUUAAAACAUGAGUAUUUUUCUUACACACACUUAUCGUUUGGCUCCAGAAGACACUGAUUCAUCCACUGGGGUCGUAUGGAUUACAUGAUGGCUGUAUGAACUUUCUGGAGCUCAUUCGCUUGUAUUAUAUGGACUAACAGAGAUGGAUAAUUUUUCUAAAAAUCUUCAUUUAUCUUCAUCUGAAGAAAGAAAGUCAUAUACAUCUGGGAUGGCAUGAGGCUGAGUCAUUGCAGAGUUUAAUCGCUUCACAAGCAAAAGCCUCAAGCAAGAUUUCUUCUCAACACUUGAUCAACAUACAGCUCGUUUUCUGGAAUUUUUUUAAUCAAAGAAGGGGCAGUUGGAAAGAGGCUUUCUGAGAUCUUUGAGCAAAUUAAGUCUAUGAGCACUGACAUCACUGCUAAGCACACAGCAGUUCUCCAUGGCCUUCCUCUCAUUCUGGAGAAGAAACCACUGACAUCUUUAAAUAUGGGAAUAUCAACACAAACGAAAAGACAAUAAUGUAUGGAAUAUUUAAACAAAAAAUAGCCAAAAAUAUAAACAUUGGCUUUAAGUAAAAAAUGUGGAAAACAAGGAGCACAAUGAUCAGUAAGCAAUGCCAUCUCCCAGCUGAGACGCUUUUUAAACUAAUCUUAAAUGAACUAAAAAGACAAAGGACAAUGGAGUGAAGAUCUAAAAAUAAAUCUCCAUGGUCUUUAUUAAAAAUAUGAUCUCUGUAAAUAUU